GCUUACGGCCUUACCACCCUGAGAACGCCCGAUCUCGUCUGAUCUCGGAAGCUAAGCAGGGUCGGGCCUGGUUAGUACUUGGAUGGGAGACUACCUGGGAAUACCAGGUGCUGUAAG
rnacentral:rRNA from 1 species